GGCUGUGGCUCAGAGGUAGAGUGCUCGCCUACCUAUGUGUGAGGCACUGGGUUCGAUCCCCAGCACCA
rnacentral:tRNA from 1 species